rnacentral:rRNA from 1 species
UACGAAGGGGGCUAGCGUUGCUCGGAAUCACUGGGCGUAAAGCGCACGUAGGCGGACUUUUAAGUCAGGGGUGAAAUCCCAAGGCUCAACCUUGGAACUGCCUUUGAUACUGGGGAUCUUGAGUCCGGGAGAGGUGAGUGGAACUGCGAGUGUAGAGGUGAAAUUCGUAGAUAUUCGCAAGAACACCAGUGGCGAAGGCGGCUCACUGGCCCGGAACUGACGCUGAGGCGCGAAAGCGUGGGGAGCAAACAGG